AGUGAACGCUGGCGGUAGGCCUAACACAUGCAAGUCGAACGGCAGCACAGUAAGAGCUUGCUCUUACGGGUGGCGAGUGGCGGACAGGUGAGGAAUACAUCGGAAUCUACUUUUUCGUGGGGGAUAACGUAGGGAAACUUACGCUAAUACCGCAUACGACCUACGGGUGAAAGCAUGGGAUCUUCUGACCUUGCGCGAUUGAAUGAGCCGAUGUCGGAUUAGCUAGUUGGCGGGGUAAAGGCCCACCAAGGCGACGAUCCGUAGCUGGUCUGAGAGGAUGAUCAGCGACACUGGAACUGAGACACGGUCCAGAGUCCUACGGGAGGCAGCAGUGGGGAAUAUUGGACAAUGGGCGCAAGCCUGAUCCAGCCAUACCGCGUGGGUGAAGAAGGCCUUCGGGCUGUAAAGCCCUUUUGUUGGGAAAGAAAAGCAGCAGGUUAAUACCCCGCUGUUCUGACGGUACCCAAAGAAUAAGCACCGGCUAACUUCGUG
rnacentral:rRNA from 1 species